rnacentral:rRNA from 1 species
UUAAAGUGGUACGUGAGCUGGGUUUAGAACGUCGUGAGACAGUUCGGUCCCUAUCUGCCGUGGGUGUUGGAGAAUUGAGAGGAGCUGCCCUUAGUACGAGAGGACCGGGGUGGACGUACCUCUGGUGUACCGGUUGUGACGCCAGUCGCAGCGCCGGGUAGCUAAGUACGGACGGGAUAACCGCUGAAAGCAUCUAAGCGGGAAGCCUCCCUCAAGACGGGUUCUCCCUUGAGAGUCGUGGAAGACCACCACGUUGAUAGGCCGGGUGUGGAAGCGCAGUAAUGUGUGAAGCUAACAGGUCCUAAUCACUCGAUUGGCUUGAUUGCUCUCG